rnacentral:rRNA from 1 species
CAUUAACAAAUCUAUUUGAGUGCUGCGGUCCUAGUGGCUGCAUGCACACAUAAGCCCUAAAGCGUAGCACUUCGGUGUGACCGCUUUAGUGUGUGUGGAGGAUUCGGAUCUUUUCGAUUCCUUCAUAGGUCUUCCUUCUGGAUGACCACAUUGACGCUUGUUUGUUUGACAGAGUUAUUAUGACAACAAAAAUAGACAACUUUUAACAAUGGAUCUCUUGGCUCUUGCAACGAUGAAGAACGCAGUGAAAUGCGAAAAGUAAUGCGAUUUGCAUGAAUCUGUGAGUCAUCAAGUCUUUGAACGCAUCUUGCACCGUAUGAGCAAUCGUACGGUAUACCUGUUUGAGAAUCGUAAAAUCCACUUCCUUCCAGUUUGGGAGGAGAACUGUCGGUUGUCCAUGUAAUACUGGACUCUGAUUAAAAGCAGUAGGUUUGUGAUCAGGCUGGUGGCCUGGGACAUUGUGUGCUAGAGACGCGGUUGGGUGUUAUAGCUUGACCCGCAAGUCUUCUCACAAUGGGUCCUGGGUCCUUUGAAAAGCUGGCUUGAUCUCUGCCUGCCUUGGUGCUGUUACUGCCUUUGGCAGUCAAUAGUACAACCCCA